UGCGGCCGCUCCCGUCCUUCUCUCCCGGCUUCCAAUUCCGAGCAGGCUCCCUGACCAGGUUCCCCGGGAAGCGCGGAAAGCGUCGUGCACCCAGAAGCGUCAGAUACCAGGGCCACAAGAAAGCCAGAUCUGCAGUUGGUAAUUACGAGAGAAAACACCCAGCCUCGACAUCAGUUUCGCUAACCUAUACUUGAAAAUGGAAAACGGGUUUUCUGGGUUUGCCAGCGCAUCGCUGCAACUAAUGAUUAAAGAAACCAAACCGAAACUUACCUUUCUCCCUUAAGGUUUUUGUGUAUGUGUGUUUUUAAAGUAACGGUGCAGUUCUCCCAAUAAGGAUGAGCAAGAAGCUGCUGGAUAGUUCUCUUAAGACAGCACGAAACCUAAACUGUGCUCGGCUUAAAAGAAGCAAAUAAAAAGAAAUGCUUUCGACCCCAAAGUCCAACGCUAAAAGAAAUGGCAAAAAAAAAAAAAAUACGAACGGGGAGGGGAAACUUAAAAAAGAGAGUUUAAAAAGACGGAGAGACUACCCUCCUAUUGCCUUUCAACUAAACAAAAAGGGGCAAGAAAAACAAACGAAGGAACAAAGAAAGAGACGAAAGAACGUUUUUUCAAAAAGACGAUGUCUUUCUCCUUGUUGCUUUUUAGUAGGUCGCUACAGGAGUAAGCUGCUGCAUCUCUAACUGAGAACAGAAAUAAGGGGGGAGGACGUCUUAAAAGGGAGGUGGACUAGACCACAGAUUUAUAGCACGGUAUCACCAACCCCUUCUCUGCCUCCGCACUGCCGUGUGUGCAGCUGCUCGGCCAGGCUCCUAUCCCAAGCAGCACGCGCGGAAGUAUACGCUAGGUCGCCUCACAACGCAACUUGCUCAUCUCCCUAGGAUCCUGAUUGGCCUAGACGGUUCUAUUGAGUCCGCCCAAGCGAGGCCGCGCUACAUGAUUGGCUAGGAGCUUGUGUCACUCUCGAGAGCUCAAUGGAGUCCCGUUUCAAGACCUGCGUGGAAAUCAGGGGAAGAAGAAAGCAAAGCUUUUUGAAGAAAGAGAGUAAAGGGGUGGAGGAAACAACAAAUCAAGGGAAGAAAACAGAAAGUCUCCACCUCAUCCACAAUAAUCAAUGUAUGAAUAAACAGCUGGAAGAUUCCGUUUGUUGUCAUUUUCCUUCAAACAUUCCUUUCCCCCCUAGAUCUGUACAAAAAAUAAAAUAAUAAAUGCCAGUUGGGUAAAAGUGUAAUACUGUUUAGUCAGAAUUACCAAUGAAGUAAAUUGUCUUUUCUCCUUGUUAAUAUGCUCUUAAUAUUGAAUGAGUUGCAUUUGAGCAUGUAAUAUUUUCAGCAAUUUGAAGAAAAUCUUUACCUUUAGCUUACAAUUACAUAAGUUUUAUCUAACUGUGGAAACUAAUACUUUGUUUAUUUUGUGAUGUUUGUAUCCACAAGAAAGGUUUUGUAGGUAACAGGAGUAAAUUUUUCCAAGAUUUGGGGGAGGGUGGAUAUGGAAAGUUGGGUGUGGUGUGGAGUGAUGAAAAUCCAGCAUGUGUGUUACGUCAUUAAAGAAAUUAACCUGAAAAAUGGUAAACUUGUCCACUCAAACGCAAAAUGCUAAAUUCUACUCAUUCAGUAUAUAUACAUUUUUCAGGUUUUUUCA